UUAGGCACCUACAGUGUUUUAGUGAGAAGCUAGAGGAGGAAGAGGACUUCCCUUGUAAUUUUUAUACUGGGAUGUGGGGACCACAUUUCAAGUCCCUCUUCUACCUGAGGGUGUGAAGGGAGUGGAACAAGGAUCUAGAACCUCUUAGUGAGAAAAAGCUUCCAUUGGCAUUGAGAGCGAAAAUGUAGUGGGAAAGUGACCUGAUGAAAGAGCUGGGGCCUGACACAAAUGUGAAGCAGGACCAGCAAGAUGCUGUAUCAAACCAGGGAAGAACAGAAAAGCUGGGAUGGAGCAGGGAAUGACCAGGGAAUCAGAGGAAUGGAUUAUAUAAACUUGAGCAAUGAAACUGCCAAUGAACAGGUUGGGACCACCCAUCAGCAAACAGCAGCUGAACCCAGCAGGCAGAAAGGAGAGCUGGCCUCCCUGAGUUUGCGCAAAGGGACCGCCACAGACUCCACUACCGGGGGUGGCUUGACAGACCUCUUCUGCAAUGGAAGUCGAGGGAAGGCCAGGGACUGAGCAACUGAGGGACCUGCAUCACUACAGAGUGAGCUGUCUGCCUUGCAGAAGGACAUCACAACUGUAAAUACUGCCUAUACUACAGUGGGGUAGCAAGGAAAGGAGUCUGCGAUGAGUGAAGACCUGGUCUGUGUGUGCAGACAGGUGAAGGUUCACAGGUGAAGGGAUGUGUCAACAUCACCAUACACCCAUGCGAUGAUCAGGCCUGAAACAGACCCCAGAAAAGGAGAAGAGAACACCCAGGAAGAACAAAGACACCUGAGCUCCCACUUCAAAGGUCUGGUCCUUCAAGGAGUUCUCCAGCCAAAUCAGGGGAGGCCAAGCUCUCUAUUCCUGAUAAUUCAAAGGUGAAAGGAAGGGGAAUUUAUAUAAGAAAUAACAAAACCUACUUUUCAGAACUUCUUUAACAGCAUAAAAAAAGUGAAGCAGCAUACAAAUCCAUCCCACCCCACAUAAACACGUGGCCUUUCAAAAUCUUUUCCCUAAGGAAAAAUAAUUGACUGUAUUAAAGGGGAAAUGACACUUGACUAACUGAAUAGUGUCAUAGU